rnacentral:rRNA from 1 species
UACGGGGGGUGCAAGCGUUGCUCGGAAUUAUUGGGCGUAAAGGGUAGGUAGGUGGUCUCUUUUGUCUGGGGUGAAAGCCUUGAGCUUAACUCAAGAAGUGCCCCGGAAACGGUGAGACUGGAGUCCUGGAGAGGGUCGUGGAAUUCCCGGUGUAGCGGUGAAAUGCGUAGAGAUCGGGAGGAACACCAGAGGCGAAGGCGGCGACCUGGACAGGCACUGACACUCAACUACGAAAGCGGGGGGAGCAAACAGG